GUCCAAGUGCUAAAUUAUUUUGUUCAAAGGGACAAGCUUUAAUUAAAAUGAUUAAACAACCCUUAUAUAUAUCAUAUACACACGGUUCAAGUCACACACACCCUCUCAUCCUAUCCAAACCCUAUCCUUUCUCUCUCUCGGCGUUGCUUUUAGCGCCGCUACUUCCUCCGUCACCACCGCUUCCUUCCUCACUCGUUGGUGGUGUCACCUUCGCUCCCUCAGCUUUGUCUCUCUUCUUAUCUUCAUUUUCUCUUCCCUACCGAUCUGAGAUCAGUUAUUUGUUCUGCUGAUGGCUCCUCCACCCUUCAUCCAAAUCAAUCGAUCUCUUCAGCAUACAAGCAAAUCAGAAACCCGAAGAUCAACAUUUUCUUUCGAUCCCCAAACCUAAUCACACUUAGUCCAAAAAAAAGGAGAUUCAAAACAAGAUUUAUUGAAAUCGACAACAGUGUUUUUCCAGAGAAGCAGAAAAGUACGGUGGCUGAACAACUUGUAAUGUCCAACUGGCUGAGAACCAUUGUUAGGGUUUCGUCUUCGUCGUCAGAUCCUAUCAAGGUUCUUUGAUUUGAGACAGAGAAGCUUAACGAAUCGAGAUCGGGAUCGUGAUUUCGUGAUCGUAACACGAAUGCUCUCUAUGAUUCAAAAAAAAAAAGAGAUCGUGAUUUGUUGAACAUAAUUUGAGCUCUUUGUGAUUCCACCUGCGAUUCUCUUAAACCUUGCCAACAAACUCUGCGAUUCACUUCUUGUAUGAAGAAGUGAAGAAAGAGUAAUGUUCGGAUACUAGUGUUUUAUAAAUGUCGUUUCACAUAGAAGUUUGUAAUAUUUAAUAAGGAAAUGGAUAUGUUUAACUUUUGGGAUUUGGAUGCAA